rnacentral:rRNA from 1 species
ACGGCGAGUGAAGCGGCAACAGCUCGAAUUUGAAAUCUGGCCUCGGCCCGAGUUGUAAUCUGUAGAGGAUGCUUUUGGCGCGGUGCCUUCCGAGUGCCCUGGAACGGGACGCCACAGAGGGUGAGAGCCCCGUAUGGUCGGACACCAAGCCUGUGUAAAGCUCCUUCGACGAGUCGGGUAGCUUGGGAAUGCUGCUCUAAGUGGGAGGUAAACUUCUUCUAAAGCUAAAUACUGGCCAGAGACCGAUAGCGCACAAGUAGAGUGAUCGAAAGAUGAAAAGCACUUUGAUAAGAGGGUCAAAUAGUACGUGAAAUUGUUGAAAGGGAAGCGCUCAUGACCAGACUUGCGCCGGGCUGAUCAUCCAGUGGUCUCCACUGGUGCACUCUGCCCGGCUCAGGCCAGCGUCGGCUGUCACGGGGGGACAAAAGCACUGGGAAAGUAGCUCUCUCCGGGGAGUGUUAUAGCCCUAUGCAGAAUACCCCCGCGGCGGCCGAGGUCCGCGCUCUGCA